GAAAUUUGGUAAUUUUUUGAAAUAGUUGAAUUUUCCGGCGAGUCGGUGUGGCUGGCCGCCGCAUGGGUCGAGACCCCACCUGACCACCCUAGGCUAAUUUUGAUUCCUCAAUUCCAUAUUUGACAUCCAUUUAGUGAAAUUCCAAUGUUUUAAUAUAGUUCCGUGGUUGACCACCUAGUUAGCUGUCACGGGGUUAUUAUAUGAAUUGAAGAUCCAACCGUUGGAUCGUAAUGAAAUGUUAAUAUGUUGUUCUAGAAGUAUAAUGUGGACUUUGGGAAGUUACAGAUCAGAAAUCUGAUCAGCAGAUCUCCCAGAUGAGAUUACUAGAGUUGUGGACCCUACCCUCGAUCUUGAUUAACGGUUGACUUUUUAGUCAACUAACCUGAGUUAUUCUAGCAUGACUUAUGGAAUUUAGUGGGCUCAUCGUGUUGACGUGUGUCUCGAUUUACAUACUAGCGACUAUAAUAUAUGUGAUUCAUAUUGAAUUGUUAGACUUGGCCGUCCUUCUAUAUUUAUUAAUUGUGAUUUGACUGUGGGUUGGAAACAUUUAUGAAAUAUGCUUUGACGUGCAUAGUUGAAUGUGGUUUGAUAUGCACGAUUGAUAUGAUGUUAUGAAAUGUAAGUGACUUUAAUAUAUGUGGUAUAGUUAUUUCCCUGUUUCCAUAUGUAGUAUCCUUUGAGGAUAUGACUUAGUUUUAUAAAUGUGUUUUCUAUUGAAAAUGUGAUUUGACUUGUGUAUUGGGAAUGUUUAUGACAUGUGAUUUGAAAUGCAUAUUGAAUUGCUUGUGAAAUGUGAGAGCUAGUAGUGGACCGUUAACCCAUUGUGAUGGGGAUUUGUUGCGUCGAGCCUUCGUGGAUGGAAUAAAUUGGAUCUAUGUCUUGUUUCUUCGAACUGUUGUUAUGCAUUGUACUUCGUGAUUCCAUUGUGUGAUGGUCCAGAAUCAAAUCAUUUGACUUGUUGGUUCCUUGGAUUUGAUUUAAGCUUAAGAGUUGUAGACUUUGGCCAAACUGUGUUGCCCUAACCCUGCAUUUCGGUGUAUGAUAUGUAUUAUUGAUUGAUAUGAUUGUGGAAUGAUGUUGGUUGUGACUGUUGCCAUUGUGAUUAGACUCGUUGACUAGGAUGACUAGAGAGUAUUAUUGUGCUUCGUUGAAUGUUCCUUGAGAUGUUGCAUGCCUGAAUGGUGGUAUUAUGUUGAGACAUAAUGAUUUAUGUGAAAAAUGUUCGAGCGUAGCGAACGACAAACUACGAAUGGCUUGAUUCCUGUUUAGGGUACGUAGGCAGUCUAACGAGGAGGUUAGAUGCAGCCAUAAAGUAUACGAAAAAUUAAUGUGCGAUUCGAUUCUAGAGUUGUGCUUUGCCAUAUCCCGGAGGCG
rnacentral:lncRNA from 1 species